rnacentral:rRNA from 1 species
GACGAACGCUGACGGCGUGCCUAACACAUGCAAGUCAAGGGGCCUUCGGGUCACUGGCGCACGGGUGAGUAACGCGUAGAUUAUCUACCCAUAUCUCUGACAUAACUGCUGGAAACGGUAGCUAAUAUCAGAUGAGGCCUACGGGUCAAAGUUUUAAUGGAUAUGGAUGAGUCUGCGUCUGAUUAGCUAGUUGGUAGUGUAAUGGACUACCAAGGCUACGAUCAGUAACUGGUCUGAGAGGACGAUCAGUCACACUGGAACUGAGACACGGUCCAGACUCCUACGGGAGGCAGCAGUGAGGAAUUUUGGACAAUGGGGGAAACCCUGAUCCAGCGACGCCGUGUGUGGGAUGAAUCGGUUAUACCGUGUAAACCACUGUCAGAUGGGAAAAAAAGAAUACUUCUGGAUUCUGGGAUUGUACCAUCAGAGGAAGGACCGGCUAACUACGUGCCAGCAGCCGCGGUAAAUAGACGUCU